rnacentral:rRNA from 1 species
GCCAGGAGCCAUGUUGCCUUGAGGUCCCGGUCUUGUCUGAUCUUGGAAGCUAACAGGGUCAGGCCUGGUCAGUACUUGGUUAGGAGACCUCCUGGCCAUACUGGGUGCUGUAGGCU